CUGUAAAAGGUAUCUUGCAAUUUCAUAAGUGUUACAAGUAUUUAAUUGAAGUAAUAUAAAUAGAGCAUGAUUUUUUAUACUAUAUAAAGUGAUAGAGUUAUCAUGAAAAAAAAAGAAGUAACAUGAUUUUUGCUCCUUACAUACAAAUGAAAAAAAUGACUAAAGUUUUCAUGUUUGUUUAUGCUAUGGUGAUUUUACUUUCUCUAUUUCUUAAUCAAACUGAUGCUAAGAGUAAGAGUCUCAUAUGUACCAGCUUCAUCGAUUGUUUUACUAGUCAGUGCAUCGUAGCUGGAGGAACACCAGGAUGCCUGCUUGGUGGAUGUACUUGCACAUAAUGAAUAUUGUUAUUCUAUGACUGGACUUGAAGAACUACACAACAAAAAUGUUUUAGUGUCUUAUUUGUCUUUCAAUACAAACAUAAUAAUGUGACAAAUAGUUAUAAUCAUAGUUGAAUUGUAGUUGGCGACCAUUGUAGUAUUAUUAUUUUUUGUGUAAACAUAUAUUAUAGAAUUAAGGAUUCUCAGAACCUAAAUACACAGUUAACCGGGUUAUAAUCCGACAAAAUAAAUUAGAGAAAUUAUAAACCAAUUAGAGUUAGAAAAGAAAUAACAAAUGAUAUUUGUCAAAUUUGGAAAA